rnacentral:rRNA from 1 species
GUUUACGGCCAUAUCUCUUUGAAAACACCGGUUCUCGUCCGAUCACCGAAGUUAAGCAACGUCGAGCCUAGUUAGUACUUAGAUGGGUGCCCGCUUGGGAAACCUAGGUGCUGUAAACG